AACGAACGCUGGCGGCAGGCCUAACACAUGCAAGUCGAACGUGAAGCCACCUUCGGGUGGUGGAAAGUGGCAGACGGGUGAGUAACGCGUGGGAACGUGCCUUUCGGUUCGGAAUAACCCAGGGAAACUUGGGCUAAUACCGGAUACGCCCUUCGGGGGAAAGAUUUAUCGCCGAAAGAUCGGCCCGCGUCGGAUUAGCUAGUUGGGAGGGUAAUGGCCUACCAAGGCGACGAUCCGGAGCUGGUCUGGGAGGAUGACCAGCCACACUGGGACUGAGGCACGUCCCAGACUCCUACGGGAGGCAGCAGUGGGGAAUAUUGGACAAUGGGCGAAAGCCUGAUCCAGCCAUGCCGCGUGGGUGAAGAAGGCCCUAGGGUUGUAAACCCCUUUCAGCGGGGAAGAUAAUGACGGUACCCGCAGAAGAAGCCCCGGCUAACUCCGUGCAGCAGCCGCAGUAACAC
rnacentral:rRNA from 1 species